UACAGAGGUCCCAAGCGUUGUUCGGAUUCACUGGGCGUAAAGGGUGCGUAGGUGGUGAGGUAAGUCGGAUGUGAAAUCUCCGAGCUCAACUCGGAAAUGGCAUUGGAAACUACCUUGCUCGAGGGUUGGAGGGGGGACUGGAAUUCUCGGUGUAGCAGUGAAAUGCGUAGAUAUCAAGCGGAACACCAGUGGCGAAGGCGAGUCCCUGGACAACUCCUGACACUGAGGCACGAAAGCUAGGGGAGCAAACAGG
rnacentral:rRNA from 1 species